AAGGGCCUGUAUUUGUAUAGCGCUUUACUUAGUUCCUAAGGACCCCAAAGCGCUUUACAUUAUAUACAGUCAUCCA
rnacentral:pre_miRNA from 1 species